UACAACAUUCUAUCGAGAAUUGUGUGUGGCACACACCCUCUUCGAAAAAAGAUCAUGCCAUAUGCAACACAAUAAUGCACGCGACAAUCGCACACCGUAGAGCUAAAAGUUUUGCCACUGAUGUAAUAGCAUCAGUUAAUACACUCUUUUGCAUCGUAACUAUAAUUGCUAUAAUGGGAUUGAUUACCGAUUUAUACGGAAUCUUUGAAGCGAUAGCAAUAUCAGGAGAUAUGAAAAUAUUACUACAAUGUUGUUUUUCCGGAGCUGGCCUUCUGCUUUUUAUAUUU